UACGGAGGGGGCUAGCGUUGUUCGGAAUUACUGGGCGUAAAGCGCGCGUAGGCGGCUUUGUUAGUUAGAGGUGAAAGCCCGGAGCUCAACUCCGGAAUUGCCUUUAAGACUGCAUCGCUAGAAUCAUGGAGAGGUGAGUGGAAUUCCGAGUGUAGAGGUGAAAUUCGUAGAUAUUCGGAAGAACACCAGUGGCGAAGGCGACUCACUGGACAUGUAUUGACGCUGAGGUGCGAAAGCGUGGGGAGCAAACAGG
rnacentral:rRNA from 1 species